CAAUAGUAUUAGGUUGGUGAAAAAGUAAUUAUGGUUUUUGCCAUUAAUAGUUAUGGCAGAAACCACAAUUACUUUUUCAACAACCCAAUA
ensembl:miRNA